rnacentral:rRNA from 1 species
UACGUAGGGUGCAAGCGUUAAUCGGAAUUACUGGGCGUAAAGCGUGCGCAGGCGGUUGUGCAAGACCGAUGUGAAAUCCCCGGGCUUAACCUGGGAAUGGCAUUGGUGACUGCACGGCUAGAGUGUGUCAGAGGGGGGUAGAAUUCCACGUGUAGCAGUGAAAUGCGUAGAGAUGUGGAGGAACACCAGUGGCGAAAGCGGCCACCUGGACUGCACCUGACGCUCAAACGCGAAAGCUAGGGGAGCGAACGGG